rnacentral:rRNA from 1 species
AUGAACGCUGGCGGCGUGCCUAAUACAUGCAAGUCGAGCGAACAGAUGAGGAGCUUGCUCCUCUGACGUUAGCGGCGGACGGGUGAGUAACACGUGGAUAACCUACCUAUAAGACUGGGAUAACUUCGGGAAACCGGAGCUAAUACCGGAUAAUAUAUUGAACCGCAUGGUUCAAUAGUGAAAGACGGUUUUGCUGUCACUUAUAGAUGGAUCCGCGCCGCAUUAGCUAGUUGGUAAGGUAACGGCUUACCAAGGCAACGAUGCGUAGCCGACCUGAGAGGGUGAUCGGCCACACAGAAACUGAGACACGGUCCAGACACCUACGGGAGGCAGCAGUAGGGAAUCUUCCGCAAUGGGCGAAAGCCUGACGGAGCAACGCCGCGUGAGUGAUGAAGGUCUUCGGAUCGUAAAACUCUGUUAUUAGGGAAGAACAAAUGUGUAAGUAACUAUGCACGUCUGGACGGUACCUAAUCAGAAAGCCACGGCUAACUACGU